rnacentral:rRNA from 1 species
AUUGAACGCUGGCGGCAGGCUUAACACAUGCAAGUCGAGCGGAGUGAUGGUGCUUGCACUAUCACUUAGCGGCGGACGGGUGAGUAAUGCUUAGGAAUCUGCCUAUUAGUGGGGGACAACAUCUCGAAAGGGAUGCUAAUACCGCAUACGUCCUACGGGAGAAAGCAGGGGAUCACUUGUGACCUUGCGCUAAUAGAUGAGCCUAAGUCGGAUUAGCUAGUUGGUGGGGUAAAGGCCUACCAAGGCGACGAUCUGUAGCGGGUCUGAGAGGAUGAUCCGCCACACUGGGACUGAGCCCCGGCCCAGACUCCUACGGGAGGCAGCAGUGGGGAAUAUCGGACAAUGGGGGGAACCCUGAUCCAGCCAUGCCGCGUGUGUGAAGAAGGCCUUAUGGUUGUAAAGCACUUCAAGCGAGGAGGAGGCUCUUUUGGUUAAUACCCAAGAUGAGUGGACGUUACUCGCAGAAUAAGCACCGGCUAACUCUGUGCCAGCAGCCGCUGUAA